CCGAGUUUUUUUACUCAAAACCCUGCGAACCUACCUUUAGUUGCUUCGGUGGCCGGCCCCGGGGGGCGGUUACCACGGUCGCCGACAGCACCCAAAACCUACUGUCAGUGUAUUCUGAGUAAACAAAAAAAACAAAAUCAA
rnacentral:misc_RNA from 1 species